UACGUAGGGUGCGAGCGUUAAUCGGAAUUACUGGGCGUAAAGCGUGCGCAGGCGGUCCGCAAAGUCUGAUGUGAAAGCCCCGGGCUCAACCUGGGAACUGCAUUGGAAACUAACGGGCUCGAGUGUGGCAGAGGGGGGUGGAAUUCCACGUGUAGCAGUGAAAUGCGUAGAGAUGUGGAGGAACACCGAUGGCGAAGGCAGCCCCCUGGGCUAACACUGACGCUCAGGCACGAAAGCGUGGGGAGCGAUCCGG
rnacentral:rRNA from 1 species